GAUGAACGCUGGCGGCGUGCCUAAUACAUGCAAGUCGAGCGAACGGACGAGAAGCUUGCUUCUCUGAUGUUAGCGGCGGACGGGUGAGUAACACGUGGAUAACCUACCUAUAAGACUGGGAUAACUUCGGGAAACCGGAGCUAAUACCGGAUAAUAUUUUGAACCGCAUGGUUCAAAAGUGAAAGACGGUCUUGCUGUCACUUAUAGAUGGAUCCGCGCUGCAUUAGCUAGUUGGUAAGGUAACGGCUUACCAAGGCAACGAUGCAUAGCCGACCUGAGAGGGUGAUCGGCCACACUGGAACUGAGACACGGUCCAGACUCCUACGGGAGGCAGCAGUAGGGAAGCUUCCGCAAUGGGCGAAAGCCUGACGGAGCAACGCCGCGUGAGUGAUGAAGGUCUUCGGAUCGUAAAACUCUGUUAUUAGGGAAGAACAUAUGUGUAAGUAACUGUGCACAUCGUGACGGUACCUAAUCAGAAAGCCACGGCUAACUACGUG
rnacentral:rRNA from 1 species